UACGUAGGGUGCGAGCGUUGUCCGGAAUUAUUGGGCGUAAAGAGCUCGUAGGCGGUCUGUCGCGUCGAUCGUGAAAACUUGGGGCUUAACCCUGAGCUUGCGGUCGAUACGGGCAUGACUGGAGUUCGGCAGGGGAGACUGGAAUUCCUGGUGUAGCGGUGAAAUGCGCAGAUAUCAGGAGGAACACCUGAGGUGAAGACGGGUUGCUGGGCCAACACUGACGCUGAGGCGCGAAAGCCAGGGGAGCGAACGGG
rnacentral:rRNA from 1 species